GUUGGAAAUAUGUGUCUUUCAUGCCACCUAGCAGCUUUUUUAUUGACAACCAACUAACUAACAAUUUUUUCUUCAGUUUUAGCAAACAUUGUCGAUCGAUCGACUGACAUCGAGCCUACGCGUAAAACUCGCAAAACUGAAUAUUUUUGGUCGAAGAUUUUUUUUACGAAAGGCGUUCUCAAGGAGAAAUUGACUCUUCAGAGGACUUUGAAUGUCUUUCUGUGAAAAGAGAUUCGCAGCAAGAGUUUGAAUCAAAUUAAUUUAGAAGCAGCAAGAGACUAAGCAAAAAAGGAAUGGAAUUUUUCGGC